UAGGACCCUUAUGAACACAGUGGAAAAGAGAAAAUCAUGAAAAAGAACUGUUAAGUCAGUCAAAUAAUUAGGUCAGGGAGCCGGAAGAAAUAUUGGAUUAUUUACAAACCGGGAUGAACAGGCGAGGGGCAAUUUGGUCAAUUGACCCCGAGAGCUGACUCCUGACCUAACUGUCAAAUAAAAUCGGAGAAAAGAAAAUUUCGGAAUCGAGAAUUAAAUUAAAGAACUAAUAGAAAAAAAAAAAUAAAAAGAGAUGAAAAUGAAAAAGUCAAAAGUUAUGACAUCAUGCAUGAUGUCAUAACUAAAGUAAUAAAUUGAAUUAUUUAAUUUGGGAAUUAGGGGUCUUCCAUAAGCCAAAAAAAAAAAAAAAAACGUGUAAAGGAAACCAAAGGAAAAAAAUUAGGAUUUUCUUCUUCCUUGCCACCCCACUUUCCUCCCAAAUUCCUCCAUGAAUGGUCCUCCAUUUAAGCUUACAUUUAAGCUUAAUUUUCUUCACUUAAUCCAAAUAACUCUCUUAAAAACCACCCUAGAGCUUGUUAUUGCAACUUAAGAAGGAGAUUACAAGAAGAAAGAAGAAUUAAAGAUAGGGUUUUGAAGCUUUAACAAAAGUUGAAAAGAAUAUCGGGAAGGAACCCGAGGAACCGAGUCGAGGCUAAAGGACGACUCGUUUGAGAUACAGAGAUUAGAGGAGCAGCAGACUGAGCUGCUGAGGUGUGAAGUCAUCAGUUUGAAGCCUUCGGGUAUAAUUUAUACCCUAACUGUAAAUACUUCUUUUGAUGUAUAUAUUGCACAUAAAUGUAUGGACAUGUAAAAAUGGGUCUUGAGCAGCUUGUACACAAAUUUGUAUGAAGUUUGUAAUAAAGUUUAGUUUGUGUUUCUUUUGAUAUAAAUUUGUAAGGUUAUGUAUAAAUUAUUUUGUUUUUAAUGAAAUAUGAA